UUGAAGAGUUUGAUCAUGGCUCAGAUUGAACGCUGGCGGCAGGCCUAACACAUGCAAGUCGAGCGGUAGCACAGAGAGCUUGCUCUCGGGUGACGAGCGGCGGACGGGUGAGUAAUGUCUGGGAAACUGCCUGAUGGAGGGGGAUAACUACUGGAAACGGUAGCUAAUACCGCAUAAUGUCGCAAGACCAAAGUGGGGGACCUUCGGGCCUCAUGCCAUCAGAUGUGCCCAGAUGGGAUUAGCUAGUAGGUGGGGUAACGGCUCACCUAGGCGACGAUCCCUAGCUGGUCUGAGAGGAUGACCAGCCACACUGGAACUGAGACACGGUCCAGACUCCUACGGGAGGCAGCAGUGGGGAAUAUUGCACAAUGGGCGCAAGCCUGAUGCAGCCAUGCCGCGUGUGUGAAGAAGGCCUUCGGGUUGUAAAGCACUUUCAGCGGGGAGGAAGGCGGUGAGGUUAAUAACCUCAUCGAUUGACGUUACCCGCAGAAGAAGCACCGGCUAACUCCGUGCCAGCAGCCGCGGUAAUACGGAGGGUGCAAGCGUUAAUCGGAAUUACUGGGCGUAAAGCGCACGCAGGCGGUCUGUCAAGUCGGAUGUGAAAUCCCCGGGCUCAACCUGGGAACUGCAUUCGAAACUGGCAGGCUAGAGUCUUGUAGAGGGGGGUAGAAUUCCAGGUGUAGCGGUGAAAUGCGUAGAGAUCUGGAGGAAUACCGGUGGCGAAGGCGGCCCCCUGGACAAAGACUGACGCUCAGGUGCGAAAGCGUGGGGAGCAAACAGGAUUAGAUACCCUGGUAGUCCACGCCGUAAACGAUGUCGAUUUGGAGGUUGUGCCCUUGAGGCGUGGCUUCCGGAGCUAACGCGUUAAAUCGACCGCCUGGGGAGUACGGCCGCAAGGUUAAAACUCAAAUGAAUUGACGGGGGCCCGCACAAGCGGUGGAGCAUGUGGUUUAAUUCGAUGCAACGCGAAGAACCUUACCCUGGUCUUGACAUCCACAGAACUUUCCAGAGAUGGAUUGGUGCCUUCGGGAACUGUGAGACAGGUGCUGCAUGGCUGUCGUCAGCUCGUGUUGUGAAAUGUUGGGUUAAGUCCCGCAACGAGCGCAACCCUUAUCCUUUGUUGCCAGCGGUCCGGCCGGGAACUCAAAGGAGACUGCCAGUGAUAAACUGGAGGAAGGUGGGGAUGACGUCAAGUCAUCAUGGCCCUUACGACCGGGCUACACGUGCUACAAUGGCAUAUACAAAGAGAAGCGACCUCGCGAGAGCAAGCGGACCUCAUAAAGUAUGUCGUAGUCCGGAUUGGAGUCUGCAACUCGACUCCAUGAAGUCGGAAUCGCUAGUAAUCGUAGAUCAGAAUGCUACGGUGAAUACGUUCCCGGGCCUUGUACACACCGCCCGUCACACCAUGGGAGUGGGUUGCAAAAGAAGUAGGUAGCUUAACCUUCGGGAGGGCGCUUACCACUUUGUGAUUCAUGACUGGGGUGAAGUCGUAACAAGGUAACCGUAGGGGAACCUGCGGUUGGAUCACCUCCUU
rnacentral:rRNA from 1 species